GUGCUUGCUUUGGUGGCACGUAUACUAAAAUUGGAACCAUACAGAGAAGAUUAGCAUGGUCUUGUGCAAGGAUGACAUAAUAUAUAUAAAAUAUAUAU
rnacentral:snRNA from 1 species